GUUCGCCAAAUAACUACGAGUGCAAACUUAAAAUUUAAAAGACUUGACGGUACCUCACAACAACCUAGAGGAGCCUGCCUAAUAACCGACACCCCACGAUUAACCCAACCCACUCUAGCCUAACAGUCUAUAUACCACCGUCGCCAGCCUACCUUGUGAAAGAAACAAAGUGGGCACAACAAGCGCCCCCUAAAACGACAGGUCGAGGUGUAACCCAUGAGUGGGUAGUAGGUGGGCUACAUUUUCUAACGUAGAAAAUACGAACAAACCAUGAAACUAGAAACUGAAGGUGGAUUUAGCAGUACGUUAAGAAUAGAACACCUAACCGAAACCCAUGCAAUGAGGUGUGUACACACCGCCCGUCAUCCCUGUCAACAUCCCCCAAAAAAAUUUAUAAAACAACUAACUCCCAAAACA
rnacentral:rRNA from 1 species